UUUUUUUUUUUUUUGUCUUUAUAGGGCCGCACCUGGGGCAUAUGGAGCUUUCCAGGCUAGGGGUCUAAAUCGGAGCUGCAGCCGCCAGCCUAUGCCAUGGCUACGGCUCCUAUUACACCCCUAGCCUGAGAAUCUCCAUAUGCCACGGGAGUGGCCCUAGAAAAGGCAAAAAAAAAAAAAAAAAAGAGAGAGAGAUACCCGAUAGACUAAUGUGGAAAGAUUUCUAAGAAAUACAGAAAAAAGCAAGCUGAAGAUUUUUUAGGGGGUGGGAGAACAAGAAAAGCAUUGGGGUAGGAGAAGUAAUAAUAUUUUAGCCUUAUCAGUAAAUGUUCCUUCUUUUUUGUCUUUAAAAACAUGUAUUCAGGGAGUUCCUGUUGUGGCACAGCAGAAACGAAUCCAACUAGCAUCCACGAGGAUGAGGGUUCAUUUGAUCCCUGGCCUUCCUCAGUGGGUUGGGGAUCUGAUGUUGCUGUGAGCUGCAGUGUAGUUCACAGAUUCGGUUCAGAUCCCGAGUUGGUGUGGCUGUGGUGUAUAGCUCAGAUUCGACCCCUAGCCUGGGAAUUUCCAUAUGCCUCGGGUAUGGCCCUAAAAAGCAGAACAAAACAACAACAAAAAACAUGUAUUCACGUAUUAUUUAUACUAUGAACUUUUUUAAAAAAGAAAGAAUUAACUUUGGGGUCAGGUUGGAAGAGAACUCAUAGAAGGAAAAACUGGAGACAGGGAGACAAAUUACAAAGAAAUGAAAACCCAGGUAAGAGACAUAAAGGCCUAAACCAAUAAGACUAUAUGAAUGGAGGGCAUAUUUGAGAAAUUAGAGAUAAAAAUGGCCAUGAGCUGCAGUGUAGGUCGUAGGUGUGUCUCAGAUUCUGUGUUGCUGUGGCUGCGGCAUAGGCCAGAAGCUACAGUUCCAAUUUGACCCCUAGCCUGGGAACUUCCACAUGUCACAGGUACAGGCCUAAAAUAAAUAAAUAAAUAAAUAAACAACAGGAUAUGAUGAUGAUUGUGAGAGGGUAAGAAAAAUGGAAGACUAACUUCCAAGGUUCCUGUAUUUUCUUUACCAGUGUUCCUAACUACAUUCUAAACAAAAUACGAACACUGAUACAAAUGAUUUUACAAAACUGGGAUAUCUUGACAACCUUGGUGGGGAAUGAUGCAACUCUAGAACAAUGCUGUUUUUGAACAAAAAUAAUUUUCUCUCUAAGGUUCCUUUGAUCAAGAGAUAGCUUUCUAACAAUUACUCCCAUUUUUUCCCCUAACAUUCUCAAUAAAUUAAACAUUAAGUGCUUGAGUAUCAUAGGAAUAACUUGAGCAAAAAUUCAAGCAUAUGUAUGCUCACAGGGUCAGUGGAAUCAAAAAGAUCUGGAUUUCCAUUUCUUCCCCAUUUCUUAGCUG
rnacentral:lncRNA from 1 species